rnacentral:lncRNA from 10 species
UGCUGGCGGGCAGACCAGGGCUGGCAGCUGCGAUCACACUCGCCCAAGGUAUAAAAGGCAGACGCACGGAUGUGCACUUCCCCAGCCCUGGACUAGGAUGGCCACCCUCCUUCUGGGGUCACAGGGAGGCCUGAGAGCUCCUGGGCCCUGCUCCCUCCUCUGCAAAGUCACCUGGCCACGCCCUUGGUCACCAUGGCGAUAAAAUGGUCCAACAGAGGCAGCGGGCUCUGCAAAGAACAAACAGAAGCUUCAUCUCCCCCUGUGCCAGGGUGAGCGUCAGGCCAGAGUCCAUCCAGGCGUUGUGUGCGUGCGUGGCCUGGCAGCGAUGGAGAAGAUGACGGCCCCCACUUCCUGGGUCUGUGUGCAUGUGUGGCCCAACAGUGACACACAGGAUGGUGGCCCUGCUUUCUAGGUCUGGGGCCAGUGCCGUGCCAGCCCCUGCCCCAGGGACCUCAGAGGGCACCAACACUCCGACCACACAGAUCUCGUGCGCCCGUUUCACAGUGAGGAAAACCAAGCCGCACAACCUUAGGUGACUUGCCCUGGAGCCCUGGCCCUCGGGGGAGACCUUCCUGCCCCUGGCUCUCACCAAAAUAUAAUCUAGGGUCAGAGAGGAAAAUCAUAUCUCAUUCAAAACUCCAGGUCAGAUCGAGGAGGACACUUCCUCAGCAUAAUUACAGAGAUGAUAGUCCACACCAGCAUCAUCAUAAUCACAGAGAUAUUCUACACCAGCAUCAUCUUAAUUACAGAGACAGCCCACACCAGCACUGCCUGAAUUACAGAGAUGACAGUCCACACCAGCAUCAUCAUAAUCACAGAGAUAUUCCACACCAGCAUCAUCUUAAUUACAGAGACAGCCCACACCAGCACUGCCUGAAUUACAGAGAUGACAGUCCACACCAGCAUCAUCAUAAUCACAGAGAUAUUCCACACCAGCAUCAUCUUAAUUACAGAGAUAGCCCACACCAGCACUGCCUGAAUUACAGAGAUGACAGUCCACACCAGCAUCAUCAUAAUCACAGAGAUAUUCCACACCAGCAUCAUCGUAAUUACAGAGACAGCCCACACCAGCACUGCCUGAAUUACAGAGAUGACAGUCCACACCAGCACUGACUGAAUCACAGAGAUGACAGUCCACAGCAGCACUGCCUGAAUUACAGAGAUGACAGUCCACACCAGCAUCAUCAUAAUCACAGAGAUAUUCUACACCAGCAUCAUCUUAAUUACAGAGACAGCCCACACCAGCACUGCCUGAAUUACAGAGAUGACAGUCCACACCAGCACUGCCUGAAUUACAGAGAUGACAGUCCACACCAGCAUCAUCAUAAUCACAGAGAUAUUCUACACCAGCAUCAUCUUAAUUACAGAGACAGCCCACACCAGCGCUGCCUGAAUUACAGAGAUGACAGUCCACAGCAGCACUGCCUGAAUUACAGAGAUGAUAGUCCACACCAGCAUCAUCAUAAUCACAGAGAUAUUCUACACCAGCAUCAUCUUAAUUACAGAGACAGCCCACACCAGCACUGCCUGAAUUACAGAGAUGACAGUCCACACCAGCACUGCCUGAAUUACAGAGAUGACAGUCCACACCAGCACUGCCUGAAUUACAGAGAUGACAGUCCACAGCAGCAUCAUCAUAAUCACAGAGAUAUUCUACACCAGCAUCAUCUUAAUUACAGAGACAGCCCACACCAGCACUGCCUGAAUUACAGAGAUGACAGUCCACACCAGCAUCAUCAUAAUCACAGAGAUAUUCCACACCAGCAUCAUCUUAAUUACAGAGACAGCCCACAUCAGCACUGCCUGAAUUACAGAGAUGACAGUCCACACAAGCAUCAUCAUAAUCACAGAGAUAUUCUACACCAGCAUCAUCUUAAUUACAGAGACAGCCCACACCAGCACUGCCUGAAUUACAGAGAUGACAGUCCACAGCAGCACUGCCUGAAUUACAGAGAUGACAGUCCACAGCAGCACUGCCUGAAUUACAGAGAUGACAGUCCACACCAGCACUGCCUGAAUUACAGAGAUGACAGUCUACACCAGCAUUGUCUUAAUUACAGAGAGAGUCCACACCAGCAUUAUCAUAAUCACACAGACAGUCCACACCAGCAUCAUCUUAAUUACAGAGAUAGAGUCCACACCAUCAUUGUCUUAAUUACAGAGAUAGAUAGUCCACACCAGCAUUGUCUUAAUUACAGAGACAGCCCACACCAGCAUCGUCUUAAUUACAGAGACAGUCCACACCAGCAUCGUCUUAAUUACAGAUAGUGAAAUAAGACAGAGAUAUUCACUAGGAUUGAACAUUUUUUGGAGGGAUGGGCGGAUGCAAUUGGACUAGAGAAAGAAUUACAAGGUAUAAAAAUUGAAAAAGAGCAGAGAAAAUGAUCACCAUUUUAGUUGAUAUGAUUACAUAUCUGGAAAAUGAA